rnacentral:rRNA from 1 species
UGGGUGAUGUCAAGCUUCCAAGAAAAGCCCUAUACCCGUUAAGGCAUGACGGCCUGUACCCGAAACCGACACAGGUGGGGUGGUAGAGAAUACCGAGGGGCGCGAGAUAACUCUCUCUAAGGAACUCGGCAAAAUGGCCCCGUAACUUCGGGAGAAGGGGUGCCACCGCAAGGUGGUCGCAGUGAAGAGGCCCAGGCGACUGUUUACCAAAAACACAGGUCUCCGCUAAGUCGCAAGACGAUGUAUGGGGGCUGACGCCUGCCCAGUGCCGGAAGGUUAAGGAAGCUGGUCAGCGCAAGCGAAGCUAGCGACUGAAGCCCCGGUGAACGGCGGCCGUAACUAUAACGGUCCUAAGGUAGCGAAAUUCCUUGUCGGGUAAGUUCCGACCCGCACGAAAGGCGUAACGAUCUGGGCGCUGUCUCGGAGAGAGGCUCGGCGAAAUAGAAUUGUCUGUGAAGAUGCGGACUACGUGCACCCGGACAGAAAGACCCUAUGAAGCUUUACUGUAGCUUGGUAUUGUGCCCGGGCUCUGAAUGCGCAGGAUAGGUGGGAGGCUUUGAUCCAUUGCUUGUGGGUAAUGGUGAGCCACUGGUGAGAUACCACUCUUUCAGAGCUAGGGUUCUAACGGUCACCCGUUAUCCGGGGACCGGACAGUAUCAGGUGGGCAGUUUGACUGGGGCGGUCGCCUCCUAAAAGGUAACGGAGGCGCGCAAAGGUUCCCUCAGGCUGGUUGGAAAUCAGCCGACGAGUGUAAAGGCAGAAGGGAGCUUGACUGUGAGACCUACAAGUCGAACAGGGACGAAAGUCGGCCUUAGUGAUCCGACGGUUCUGAGUGGAAGGGCCGUCGCUCAACGGAUAAAAGUUACUCUAAGGAUAACAGGCUGAUCUCCCCCAAGAGUUCACAUCGACGGGGAGGUUUGGCACCUCGAUGUCGGCUCAUCGCAACCUGGGGCUGAAUUCGGUCCCAAGGGUUGGGCUGUUCGCCCAUUAAAGCGGUACGCGAGCUGGGUUCAGAACGUCGUGAGACAGUACGGUCCAUAUCCGGUGCACGCGCAGGAACAUUGAGAGGAUUUCUCCCUAGUACGAGAGGACCGGGAGGAACGCACCUCUGGUGUACCAGUUAUCGUGCCAACGGUAAACGCUGGGUAGCCAUGUGCGGAGCGGAUAACCGCUGAAAGCAUCUAAGUGGGAAGCCCACCUCAAGAUGAGUGUUCCCAUGGCAUAAGCCAGUAAGGUCACGGGAAGAACACCCGUUGAUAGGCUCUACGUGGAAGCGUGGCAACACGUGAAGCGGAGGAGUACUAAUAGACCGAGGGCUUGAAC